GGCGCACGGGUGAGUAACGCGUGGGGACCUACCUCUUAGUGGGGGAUUACGGUCUGGAAACGACCGCUAAUACCGAAGGCGCCCUUCGGGGGAAAGAUUUAUCGCUAAGAGAUGGACCCGCGUUGGUUUANAUAGGUUGGUGAGGUAACGGGUCACCAAGCNAAGNGAUCCCAUAGCUUGGUUUGGGAGGAUGAUCAGCCACACUGGGACUGAGACACGGCC
rnacentral:rRNA from 1 species